rnacentral:rRNA from 1 species
UACGUAGGGGGCAAGCGUUGUCCGGAUUUAUUGGGCGUAAAGAGCGUGUGAGGCGGUUAGGUAGGUCCGUUGUGAAAACUCGAGGCUCAACCUCGAGACGCCGACUGGAAACCAUCUAACUAGAGUCCGGAAGAGGAGAGGUGGAAUUCCUGGUGUAGCGGUGAAAUGACGCAGAUAUCAGGAAGAACACCCCGUGGCUAAGGCGGCUCUCUGGGUCCCCUACCGACGCUGGGGUGCGAAAGCAUGGGGAGCGAACAGG